GCGAGAUAGCCAAGUGGUAAGGCGUGGGUCUGCAACACCCUGAGCGCCGGUUCGAAUCCGACUCUCGC
rnacentral:tRNA from 1 species